GGUUGUGCAUGGGUUCUCCUCUAUCAUGUGAAAGAGGUUUCUGCUGUAUGUGCAGUGCUUAUAAUGGGGAAGAUGGAGAAAAGGGGAUAGAAGCUCCUUUUCCGAUCUGACUUUGAUCUUACUGUAAUUGCUUUUGGUGGCCAGGUGCUGGGGUGCAUAGAUGGAACUGCUGAGUCAGAGCAUGCCACAGAGGGGAGGAGAGCAUGUGUCUGCGGUUGGUGGGGUCUGCAGUGGUGACCCAUGGCCUCCAUGGAGCACAGUGACAUGGUUGCCAUGGCAUCUGCUGUGCUUGGUCAGAGGUGACUAGCCAUGCUGCAGGAAUUGGACCCGCAGCCCCUCUCCAGUGUCCUCCUGUUGCUGAUACAGCCAUACAGGUUCAGUCUGGCCCUACCCUCAUGAGAAUUUCACUGGGAGGAGGAAGUGACUUUUUUGUUUUCUAUUUUGCUAUAUGUGCUUCCUACAGGAGAAAACAAGAAAUUGAAGAAAAAAUAAAAAAUAAAUGGAAGGAAAUUAACAUGAAACGGAAAAGUAUUCUGAUGACAAGAUUCAAGCAGAAAUAGUAAAGGAACUAGCUGGAGAAAGGAAAGAAGAAGGGCACUUCAGCAUGGAGAGUGGUGGAUUAAGCUGAGGAAGUGACCUCCCGGUAGAGCAGAAGAGUGAAUUACAGGUGAAGGAUGAGUCAGAGGGAAGCUGGUGGGGUUUCCCAGGGAAGGUGUUUGUGCCUGCACCUUCUGACCUCAGUCCAAGGGGUAAAAGAGAGCCCUGUGUAUGUGUUCGGAAAACUACAACUCAUUUG
rnacentral:lncRNA from 1 species